AAAACUAUUAUUAUCAGUAUUAUCACUGCUGUCAUUAUUAUCAUUAGUAAUGUUGUCGUUAUCUUUAAGGCUAUGCUAAAUGUUAUUCGCCUUGUCCCUGAAAUAUAUCCUAUCAUUGCAGUGGUAGUAAUAGUAGUAGUAAUUGUAGUAGUAGUUGUAGUAGUAGUAGUAGAGUAUGCUGGAAAUAGUUAAAUCUCACUGGUGGAUGCUGGAUAGGCUAAAUCAUAUUGGUGGGUGCUUGUAAAAGUUAAAUAUUACUGGUGGAUGCUGGGGAAUGCUAAAUUUUACUGGUGGAUGCUAGGAAAGGCUGAAUCUUACUGGUGGAUGCUGGGGAAGGCUAAAUUUUACUGGUGGAUGCUGGGAAAGGCUGAAUCUUAUUGGUGGAUGCUGGGAUAGAUUUAAUCUUAUUGGUGGAUGCUGGGAAAGGUUAAAUCUUACUGGUGGAUAGUAGGAAAGGUUAAAUCUUACUGGUGGAUGCUGGGAAAGGUUAAAUCUUACUGGUGGAUAGUAGGAAAGGUUAAAUCUUACUGGUGGAUGCUGGGAAAGGCUGAAUCUUAUUGGUGGAUGCUGGGAAAGGCUGAAUCUUAUUGGUGGAUGCUGGGAAAGGUUAAAUCUUACUGGUGGAUGCUGGGAAAGGCUGAAUCUUAUUGGUGGAUGCUGGGAAAGGUUAAAUCUUACUGGUGGAUGCUGGGAAAGGCUGAAUCUUAUUGGUGGAUGCUGGGAUAGGUUAAAUCUUGUUGGUGGAUGCUGGGAAAGGUUAAAUCUUAUCGAUGGAUAGUAGGAAAGGUUAAAUCUUACUGGUGGAUGCUGGGAAAGGUUAAAUCUUACUGGUGGAUGCUGGGAAAGGCUAAAUCAUAUUGGUGGAUCCUGGGAAAAGUUAAAUUUUAUUGGUGGAUGCUGGGGAAGGCUAAAUCUUACUGGUGAAUGCUGGGAAAGGUUAAAUCUUAUUGGUGGAUGGUGGGAAAGGAUAAAUCUUACUGGUGGAUGCUGGGAAAGGCUUAAUCUUACUGGUGGAUGCUGGGAAAGGUUAAAUCUUAUUGGUGGAUGGUGGGAAAGGAUAAAUCAUCCUGGUGGAUGCUGGGAAAGGAUAAAUCUUAUUGGUGGAUGCUGGGAAAGGUUAAAUCUUACUAGUAAUGUAUAGAUAUGGUAGUCAUAAACAAUAGCUGCGCAUGGCCUCAUUGUUCAUCUCCGUCACAUUAGCCUUACUGGUGGAUGCUGGGCGUGAGGGGGCGUGGCCUAUUCGCACAGUUAUCUUGAACAGACCAGACAUUAAUAGUUUGACGUGAGAGAGAGAGAGAGAGAGAGAGAGAGAGAGAGAGAGAGAGAGAGAGAGGAAGGAGGUACUUAUUGCUUGUAAUAGUAAAUGGGUAGUUAGGCCAGGUGCGUGCAUGUGUAUGUAUGUAUGUAUGGAGGAGGAGGAGGAGGAGGAAGAGCUUUAUGUAUGUUUGUGUGUUUGUGGAGAGAGAGAGAGAGAGAGAGAGAGAGAGAGAGAGAGAGAGAGAGAGAGUUAUACAGGUAGCUUGACAGGUUAAUUAAAGUUGUCCA